rnacentral:lncRNA from 1 species
UUGGGGACGCUGCAGGGCAUGAGGUUGGGGACAGGGACACGGUGGCAUGGGGGACACAGCAGCGUGGGGACAUCGCAGGGGACGCGGUUGGGGACGCCAUGGGUGAUGGGGUUGGGGACGGCCACACAGGGACACUACGGGGGACACGGCAGCGUGGGGACACCGCAGGGGACGCGGCAGCGUAGGGACACAGCUGGGGACGGGGACAUGGCAGCACAGGGACGCUAGGGGGGGACGUGGCAGCGCGAGGACGCGGCAGGGAACGAGGACACGGCCGCACAGGGAUGCCACAGGGACAUGGCAGGGGAUGGGGACGCGGUCACACGAGGACACCGCAGGGCACGGGGACACGGCCAGACAGGGACACCGUGGGGGACACGGUCACACGAGGAUGCUGUGGGGACACGGCAGGGGACAGGGACACAGCCAGACAGGGACACCACGGGGGACACAGUCACGUGGGGACACCGUGGGGACGCGGCAGGGGACAGGGACAUGGACACAUGGGGACACGGCCACACGGGGACGCCGUGGGGACGUGGCAGGGGACAGGGACAUGGCCAGACAGGGACACCGUGGGGGACACGGCCACAUGGGGACACGGCAGGGGACGGGACACGGCCGCGUGGGGACACCCCGGGGGACACGGCCACACGGGGACACCGUGGGGACACGGCAGGGGAUGGGGACAUGGCCAGACAGGGACACCGUGGGGGGACAUGGCCGCAUGGGGACGCCACAGGGACAUGGCAGGGGAUGGGGACACGGUCACACGAGGACACCGCAGGGCACGGGGACAUGGCCAGACAGGGAAACCGUGGGGGACAGGGCAGCGCGAGGACGUGGCUGGGGAGGGGGACAUGGCCAGACAGGGACACCAUGGGGGACACGGCCACACGGGGACGCCGUGUGGACACGGCAGGGGACAGGGACACGGCAAGACAGGGACACCGUGGGGACACGGUCAUAUGGGGACGCCGUGGGGACGCGGCAGGGGACAGGGACAUGGCCAGACAGGGACACCGUGGCAGACACGGCCACACGGGGACACUGUGGGGACGCCGCAGGGACGCCACG